rnacentral:snoRNA from 1 species
GAAUCAAAACUUUACCGGAAACAGUGCCACAGUUGGCUUUUCUGUCAUCAAACAGUUGCUAAUUGCCAGUAUCUCAACUAGAUUGAGAUGCUAGUUUCCCAGAUCAAAAUCGACUGGAUAGGAAGUUCGUGGUUUGUGUGUCUAGCCAUCAGAAAUUUAGAAUGGUGAGAUGAUGAACCAGGAAUGUCGAAGAAAGACGACAUUU